UUUUGUAAAUAAAUGAUAAUUUUUUGUGUAUACCAUUUUGCAAUCAACAGACAUCAUAACAUGUCAAUGUGUACAGGUAUCACAUCUGUGUCAUUACACAAUAUGACACAUAAUGUAACAGAGACA